rnacentral:rRNA from 1 species
CCUACGGGUGGCAGCAGUGAGGAAUAUUGGUCAAUGGACGAGAGUCUGAACCAGCCAAGUAGCGUGAAGGAUGACUGCCCUCUGGGUUGUAAACUUCUUUUAUAUGGGAAUAAAAGGUUCCACGUGUGGGAUUUUGUAUGUACCAUAUGAAUAAGGAUCGGCUAACUCCGUGCCAGCAGCCGCGGUAAUACGGAGGAUCCGAGCGUUAUCCGGAUUUAUUGGGGUUAAAGGGAGCGUAGGUGGAUUGUUAAGUCAGUUGUGAAAGUUUGCGGCUCAACCGUAAAAUUGCAGUUGAAACUGGCAGUCUUGAGUACAGGAGAGGUGGGCGGAAUUCGUGGUGUAGCGGUGAAAUGCGUAGAUAUCACGAAGAACUCCGAUUGCGAAGGCAGUUCACUGGACUGCAACUGACACUGAGGCUCGAAAGUGUGGGUAUCAAACAGGAUUAGAUACCCUUGUAGUC